CAGGAUGAACGCUAGCGGGCAGGCUUAACACAUGCAAGUCGAGGGGCAGCGGGGAGGAAGCUUGCUUUCUCCGCCGACGACCGGCGCACGGGUGAGUAACACGUAUGCAACCUGCCCCUGUCAGGGGGACAACCCGCCGAAAGGCGGGCUAAACCCGCGUACAUGCCACCGGGGCAUCCCGGAGGCAGGAAAGGCUUCGGCCGGACAGGGAUGGGCAUGCGGCGCAUUAGGCAGUAGGCGGGGUAACGGCCCACCUAACCGACGAUGCGUAGGGGUUCUGAGAGGAAGGUCCCCCACACUGGUACUGAGACACGGACCAGACUCCUACGGGAGGCAGCAGUGAGGAAUAUUGGUCAAUGGUCGGGAGACUGAACCAGCCAAGCCGCGUGAGGGAGGAAGGUACAGAGUAUCGUAAACCUCUUUUGUCAGGGAACAAAGGCGGGGACGUGUCCCCGGAUGAGUGUACCUGAAGAAAAAGCAUCGGCUAACUCCGUGCCAGCAGCCGCGGUAAUACGGAGGAUGCGAGCGUUAUCCGGAUUUAUUGGGUUUAAAGGGUGCGCAGGCGGUCUGUUAAGUCAGCGGUCAAAGCCCGGGGCUCAACCCCGGCCCGCCGUUGAAACUGGCAGUCUCGAGUUGGAGAGAAGUAUGCGGAAUGCGCGGUGUAGCGGUGAAAUGCAUAGAUAUCGCGCAGAACUCCGAUUGCGAAGGCAGCAUGCCGGCUCCACACUGACGCUGAGGCACGAAAGCGUGGGUAUCGAACAGGAUUAGAUACCCUGGUAGUCCACGCAGUAAACGAUGAAUGCUGGCUGUCCGGGGGGAUUGACCCCUGGGUGGCGAAGCGAAAGCGAUAAGCAUUCCACCUGGGGAGUACGCCGGCAACGGUGAAACUCAAAGGAAUUGACGGGGGCCCGCACAAGCGGAGGAACAUGUGGUUUAAUUCGAUGAUACGCGAGGAACCUUAACCGGGCUCAAACGGGGAGUGACUCAGGCAGAGACGCCUGUUUCCCACGGGACACUCCCCGAGGUGCUGCAUGGUUGUCGUCAGCUCGUGCCGUGAGGUGUCGGCUUAAGUGCCAUAACGAGCGCAACCCCCGCGUGCAGUUGCUAACAGAUAACGCUGAGGACUCUGCACGGACUGCCGGCGCAAGCCGCGAGGAAGGCGGGGAUGACGUCAAAUCAGCACGGCCCUUACGUCCGGGGCGACACACGUGUUACAAUGGGUGGUACAGCGGGAAGCCAGGCGGCGACGCCGAGCGGAACCCGAAAUCCACUCUCAGUUCGGAUCUGAGUCUGCAACCCGACUCCGUGAAGCUGGAUUCGCUAGUAAUCGCGCAUCAGCCAUGGCGCGGUGAAUACGUUCCCGGGCCUUGCACACACCGCCCGUCA
rnacentral:rRNA from 1 species